AUGCAGAGCCCCCAGGACCGGUGGCCAGGACCCGGGCAGUGAGAGUGCCACUGAAAAUCAGCUCCCGUGCCACUUUUGGCACGCAUGCCAUAGGUUGCCUACCCCUGAGAUAGACUGAACACGUCAAAUGUGAUUUACAGUGGCCAAAUUUACCAUGAAUUGUUGCAUUAAAAGUUUUUAGCAGGAUGUUAUUUUAUACUGGAGCACACUUUUUCCCCCAUGUCAUAACAGUAAGAGUAUACAGCUUAAGUAUACAAAAUUGAUUCAAAAUAAAAACAAAAAAGGGUACAGUUUCUUUUUCCUCUGGUCACCAGUCCUUUGAUUUAAAUGAUACAUGUAUGGAAGUAAUGUAAACAAUAAAUUGUUGCCAUGUUACUCUCUGCAAGCCAAUUCAAAGGAAUUUACAAUACAUGUACAUUAACAUUUUAGAAAAUAUUAAGGCCCACAUUUUUAGAAGUGCACACAAGCAGUUGCACAUGCAAAAUUGUACACACAAUUCUUAUCCAGUCAUAUUAAUUACAUGCAUAACUAACAAUCUAGUCUAAAUUGUAAAUCACCUGCAUUCCACUUUCAUUAUAUAAUAAACAUAAAAAUUGAUAACAAGCACUAGAUAGGUGCUAUAUUUAAGGUUAUAACACCUUGCAUGCAUAUUUUUUGUUUUGUUUUUAAGUGUACUGUUUUGUUUUACAUGUACACUUUUCAGUGUAUUUCGAGGGCUAGAUGCCCCUAAUAUGAGGCUCUAGUCUCAAGAGUAACUCUGUAAAAAUUGUCCUCUCUUACUCAAUGGACUUGGUCCAUGUCUUUUUCAGUAAUAUCUACUUAAUUUAGAAAGAGAAACUUGUAGUACUUUUUAUUCCUGUCAAUACUGCAGAAUCACUAGAGCUAUAGAAGAAUUGGCUGGAUUCCUUACUGGGUUGGGGCAUAAUCAACGGAAUUGUUAAAAGUGAGAGUUGCAAGGUUAUAGUCUCACCCUAUUGAGGUCAAAGGAAUUUGUCAAGGGUGAAAGAAAGUAGAAGAUAACAUUGGAGUUGCACAGAUGUAACAGGACCAAAAUUGUUCUGCACAAUUCAUUAUUGACCAUAGUUAACAAGAUGGAAAGAAAAACAGCUUGACUUUCAGAUCACAAGUUGAGUUUGCAAGCCUGGCAGGGUUUCAGAUGGGAGGAUUGGAUUUAAAAAAAAAAAAAAAUCUUGUAAACGGAGCAAAAUUUUACAUGUUAUUGAGAAACAAACAUGCAACCUCGCAAUGUAAGCUUUAGACCAGUUGUUUUUAGAGUAAACUGUAUUAUAUGUGGCUUAAGCUCUUGAAAGAGUUUACAGAUGUCAGCAUACGUCAACAACUUAAACAUUAACCCUACCUUAGAUUUUUUCUUUUCUUUAGAAAAAAUUCAGAAAUAAAGUGAAAAAAUUACUUAAUGCACUAUUAAGGUUGUUUGCUUAAAGUCACCUAAAGUCAGGAAGUGCAGAAUUCAAGGUUCCAAAAACAACAUGAACAUAGAUGUUGCAUCUGUGUAUUCUAUUUUACAACUGUUUUCCAGUUAUGUAUGAUAUAAAAAGAUAUAUAUCAUAAGACAUACAGUAGGUGUAAUGAAGCCAAGUUAACGUUACUGUUGGAACCUUAAUUAUUUCAUUUUUUGCCUUUUAGUGACUGAUUGUGCAGCCAUAAUGUUGCACUGAAUUGGACUUGUUUUUUCUAAUUUAAUGAUGUAUUUAAAGAGGAACUUCAAGAAAGAGAAAUGCAAACCACCUGCUGUUGAAGCUCUCAUUUAAAAACAAAAACCCUACUAAUUGUAAUUACUAAAAUUCCUAAUUAAAGCCAUAAUUCAUGUCCAGAGGACUACUCACAUGCUUAUGUACCUAACUGAUUUGGAGCCUAAAGGAAUAAUUUCUCUGAAUGUGAGCGCUGGAUCUGUUUCUCUCCAGCCUAUGGAAUCCUACAACAUGACAGCAAACCAAUGCUGCUCUAUUGAAUGAAAUCUUGGAUUGAUUUGAGUGACUUAAACAAUCUCUUUGUCAGAAUUAAAACUUGGAGAGAGAAGGUGGGUGAGGUAAUAUCUGAAGAAUAGCUCUGUGUACGUUCGAAACCUUGUUGUUUUCACCAACAGGAGUUGGUUCAAUAAAAUAUCUUCCCCCACCUUGUGUCUCUAAUAUCCUGGGACCAAGAAGAAUUAAAACUUACUGUUGUUGAUUCUGCCUUGUUUAAAUUCUCAGUUCAAUUACAAUAUGCAUUCUUCAUCUGAAAUUUCUCAUGUAUCUCAUUGGCGGCAGCAGCAACAAAGCCUUAAUUACUGAUCUUACUUAAGAACAAUAGGUUUUGCAUUGGUAAACUAGCCUUAGUUGAAAUGUUUUAACUGAAUAUUGCUGUGGGGUUUGCAUGUUGUCAGUUCCUGCAUCAAGUAUACCUCUACCUCGAUAUAAUGCUGUCCUCAGGAGCCAAAAAAUCUUACUGCGUUAUAGGUGAAACGGCAUUAUAUUGAACUUGCUUUGAUCCACCGGAGCGCGCAGCCCCGCCUCCCCGGAGCACUGUUUUACCGCAUUAUAUUCGAAUUCGUGUUAUAUCGGGUUGCGUUAUAUCAAGGUAGCGGUUUAUAUAAUGACAUCUUACAGCUACAGGAGAUCACUUAACAGUAAAAAGAGUUUUUAUUUUCUCUUUCAAUAUUUUUUCCUUUGCUGGCAUGCACAUAGUAUGCUGAUUGAUUAAAGUGUGACGCUGUCUUCUUAUUCCAUGUAUGAAUUAUUUGAUUUCUUCUAUUGGGACUAUAGCUAGAGUGGUUACUCAUGUCUUGUCACUCUACAGGAAUGGGUUGGCUUUGAAUUUUCCUACAUAUAUUACACUGUUGGGCACACAAAAAUAGUUGCAUGUACAACUUUCCUCACUCAGUCACAGAACUCUCAUUUGUGCCUCAGUACAUAUUGGUCCCCUUUGCAAAAUGAAAUGCCCCUUGGAUACUUUAAAUUGUAUCCUCUAGCCCUACAGCCACUCAUCCCUGGCUUUAAUAGUACCAGAAAAGCACCUGGAUUUGAAAUCCGAAAAUUCUUUUUGUAAGUAAUUUCCACCUAUCAACUACCAGCAGUUCUCAAACUGUGGGUCAGGACCCCAAAGUGGGUUGCAACCCUAUUUUAAUGGGGUUGCCAGGGCUGGCAUUAGACUUGCUGGGGCCCAUGGGCAGCAGAGCUCAGGCUACAGGCCCCCUGUCUGGGGCUGACGCCUUUUGGGCUUUGGCACCCUGCCCUGGAGCGGUGGGACUAAGGCAGACUCAGGUUUUGGUCUCCUCUCCUGGGGUCGUGUAGUAAUUUAUGUUAUCGGGGUCGCAGUGCAAUAAAGUUUGAGAACGCCUAAACUAAACCAAUUCCCAAGAACAUGAAACAAUAUUUUUAGAAAGGGGCGCGCUAGUCUUUCAAAAGACUUCAGCAGCCAGAGACAAGAAAACCCCUUCUCUAUUCUGACUGAAUAGCACUCGGAAAUUUCUGACAUAAGUUUAAGCACACAUAGUCUCACUGAAGCCAACAAAGGUACUCACAUAUUUAAAGUGUUUGCAGGAUCAAGGUCAAACUUGUUUUUUAAAAAUCUGGGAGGAUAAUUAGUAGUAUGAUUUUUCUCUUCUCUAAAGCUAACAAGUUUUCAAGGAAAAAAUCUGGCUGUCUCACCAAGAAAUAUUUUGUAGUUUGGGAUUUUUCCCUCUGGUGAUAUUUCUCCCCAUCAAAGAGUAUGGUAAAUUGCCCUUUUCCAUGCUUCCAUCAACAUCAGAAGUGUGUGUCAACAUAAAUGGUAAUGUUCCACCAGUUAUCCAUCCACACUAUCCCUUACUUCCCUGUCUGGAUGUUUGCCAACUUUCUUGUUCUGUGUACUCAAUUCCUUUUUAUCCUUUUCCAGGAACACUUAGUAAUAGAGCAUGGCUAUCCAGAUCUUUCCUCAAAACUGCAUCUCUCUUUUCCCUUUAUUACCAUAUGGAAUUCCUUAUACAAACACUUUGGAAGCAUACACUGAUAGCUAGUUGAAGUAGUGGUAUAAAUAGUAGUUAAUAUAAGUUUCCAGUUAAAAGUCCAGCUACAUAGUUAAAAAAAUUCCUCGUGUGGAAAAAGGCCAUAUGUUGCUUUACAUUACAAUCAGCAAAGCAAAUCAAUGAUUCUCUUUUGCCUCAGUCAUCCUCUUUCAUUGGUCUAGCAAGACAGCUGUCAUACUUGGUUUCCAUUUUAUACAAUUCCGGACACGGCGGUGCUUUCAUUCUCUCUUUUGGAGCAAAACACUAGGAUGCUUUCUCUCACGCUCUCUCUUAAUGGCCUUUCUAGCCUCUCCUAUUCACAUUUAAUGAAAUCAGCUAACUCAGAAAGGAAGCAAACUUCCACCUUUUUACCUUAUGAUGGAGGCUGAACAAAGGAUGAACUUUUAAUGCAAAGAAAUACAGUUUGCAAAAUUUGUUUUCAUGUUAUCAAAAGGCAUAAAAUAAUUUUAAUUGCAAAUGUGUCAAUUUAAAAAAAAAUAAAACCCCUUCCAACUUGCCUGUCCUGUGGCUUUACUCCAGUGUCCUGUGCUGAUCUAUGCUGGCUGUGACAAAGCAAACAUAGUGUGUGCUUGGACAUCUCAGAGAAGGAAUCUGCAAUCCACAAUUACAAAAGGGAUCUAGAAAGAAAAAUAAUAAAGGAAAAUCACCUGAGGUUUGACUGCUGAGGUUUUGACAUUAAAUCAUCAUCUCAGAGGUGCACAGCCUUAUUCCUGAGGAAGUUCUUUGAUCCACUAACGUCUGUACAUUUGAAAGUCUGGUUAGGAGCAUAUACAGUAGAUACAUUCAUUAAGAUUAUUGUGUGACCCUAAGGAAGGCUGAUCAAGAUGUGCAUACCCAACACUGUCACCUUCACAGUGAACUGUCUAGUCACCUGUGCUAGGGUUCUGGCAAGAGCUCCUGUUGAGACUGUAUGUUAUUCUGAGCCCAAGGACCCCAGCUAACACUGUACAUGCAUUAUCGUUCAGCAAAUUACAUGAUUAUAUUCUGUCUCAAAUAUAUAACGUUUCCUACCUUUCCAACAUUUGCAUAAGUAGAUGUGCCACCUUGUACUAUCACAUAUUCAAAGAGGCUGCACAAUAUACUGUUGGUGAAAUAUAAGACUAGGAGAAAGGUGUCCUGCCAUUUAUAUGGUUUAAAAUUACAUUAACUUUCAUUCACUGUAGCAUUCAGCAACAUUUCAAGAAAAUACUUCUUGGUAUUUUAAAAAGUACUUACUACAUAACAAUAUGAGGUAUUUCACACCUAGGAGGGAAAACAGAUACUUAUGGAAAAAUUCAGUUUUUGAUUUACUUAGAAAUAUAAUGGUAAGAUUUGAAAAAAUAAUAUAUAAGGACAAAAUUCUACAAAGAAAUUCUCGCUCAUUAAAAAGACAUUAUAUUAAAGAACAUGCAUCUAGUACUUGGAUAAAGUAAUUAACUUCCUUAGGAAAGUUUGAGGAUAGGUCACAUGAAAACUACAGAGAAGUGAUACUUUGUUAAGAGUGUUAAACAAGAAAAUCAAACAAAUGUUAAUGCAGUGGUGUAUAUGUGUUUCUGUUGAAUUAAAAAAAAACUCCAGCUACAUACAGUAUUAAGAGGGACAUCUAGAAAAGAACAAAAUCCUCCUAAUGUGGUGAUGGAGGGAAACCACUGCAAUAGCGUGUUGAGAGAAGAGAACUGAUCAGUUAGGGCCUGAUCCAAAGCCUGCUGAAGUCAUAGGAUGUCUUCACAUUGACUUUCAUGGUGUGAAUUCAGUGAUCAUUGCCAAAUGCUGAGCACCUUUGAAGACUAUACUCUAAGUCAAUAGAUGUAUUGGACCAUAAUAACUAUAAAAUUAAUGAAGAAAACAUUACAAGAUGCUACACUUGCACAUAAAUCUGUUAAAUUUUAUUUUUUGAGCAAUAGUGUAUGAUCGUGCAAAGACUAUUGUAAUGCAUCAGCACAACAGGGCAUGUGCAGACUUAGCCAUUUCCUAAUUUUGGCGUGCUUAACGGCAUCCCUAAUAUUCUCAGUGUAACUUUUUGGGUGGAAUAAUAAAUGCUUAAGUUGACCUGGUUUUCUUGCCUAUAAUUUUACUUUUUAAAAGUGAGAUCCAUUAUUCUGGCUAUUCUGCCACUUCUACUGAAUCUCCGAAGCAGGUACUAAGAGUUCCUGUUCCUCCUCCUGUCUUUAGAAAUCACCAGUUCCUCUUGCUGGCACAUUUACUACACUGCCUGUGUAACUCUAGUGGAGGCUUCCAAAGAGAUACAAGACUGGAACAUGUGAACAUACACUAAAUUGAAGAUGUGGGGUAGAGGGUUUUUUGUUUUGUUUUUUAAAUCCAUACUAACAUUUCUCUUUCCACAAUGUAAUUCAUGACUGCUAAGUAGUCAUCAACAGAGCUAAUAGGGUGGACGUGGCCAGAGUAGCAGAUCCUACUUGUAGAAAAUGACAUGUAAGAAAAUUAAUUUGACCUUUCCCCUUUAUAAGAUCCACUAGUAUGGAUAUUAUAUCUAGGAGGUUGCCAGCAGAGUCCAAACAUCUUCAAAAUUAGGGAAUAAUAAAUUAUGAAGGUCCAUAGGUAAUAGAAGCUUGAAGCAGAACUUGUGAAAUCCUCAGACUCAAAACAAUUUCUUCCUAGAUAAAAGAAUGAUCGGUACCAAUGAGGUAGGAUGACCAUGAGAACUACAGUCUCCAAAUAUUGCUCAAUAGUCAGUAUAGCACAAACCUUUGGGUUUACAAAGGAGGUCAACCAGCCUCCUAGAGUAUUCCUGUCUGAAUAACACUCUCCAUACAUGGUUAUAAGCCUCAGCCUGUGGAGCUCUGGAUGACUGAGGAGCUUGGUGAAUGGACUUCAGUUUCAGAAUCCGCAAAUAUUACUCCUGGGAGAAUUCUGCACCAAAAAAAUUAAAUUAAAAUUCUGCGUAUUUUUUGUCAAAAUAAUGCAAUAUAAUCCAGCUAGUUCAAUUAUUUUGGUAAUUUAUUUAAAGUACAAUACAAUGGAUGGAAAAUGGGAGUGGGGAGCAUUGGAGGAAAUCACCAAACCCCUCUGUCUAAUAGUAAUGUGGCUAGUAUUGAUCCUUUACUUCUAAUUAUUAGUCAACAAAUAUAUGCAGCCAUAUGCUCAGUGUUACAUCAUAGACAACUGAAGAGCAAGUGAGGGCUGGGGACUCAAACUCACAAUUUAUACUGGCUACUGCCCAUCUCUAGAAAGGUCAGUAGUAAACAGUUCAUGAAGCACAUUUUGACAGGGAAUUUUUUCAGUUCAAAAAUUUAGACCAGUUGUAAUCACUAAAGCACCAUAAGCAUUUAUAAGGCCAUACUCUCCUUUACAAUAAAGGCUCCUUUACACCACCCUGGCAAUAUAAAGGAGCCUUAACAUUUCUACAUCUGUUUUAUACUCCUGGGGGAAUUCACUAAGAACAAUGGGAAUAAUUCACUAAGCAGGCAGGCUGCUAUGUUCUCCUCUGCCUGAGGGAGCAGAGCCUACCCCACACCUACCUCUUGAAAAAUACCCCAAAGCCCUCCAUGCCAAGCGUGCUGCAAUAGUGAGUGAGAGGGACAGAGUGUGUCUCUCUCUCUUACACACAGACACACUCACUCUCUCUCUCUCUCUUUCUCUCCACUACCCCCUCCCCCCGGCAGUGAUUUACAUCUCUUCUGGGUGCCCAAACCCAUCUGUCUGCACUGCCAGGGACUGAGCACAUGACCACCCUCGUGGCUUCCCUUUGCUUCCCUGUCAGAAGUCAUUUUUCUGCGGGUAAGCAAAGAAAUCUGCAGGGGCUAUGAAUUCUGUGCACACACAGUGACGCAGAAUUCCCCCAGGAGUAAAAUAUGUAGUAAAUAUCAUCAACAUAUGUAGUAAUCUGCAGGACCAGAGCCUCAGGAUGGAGCAAUCAGGUUGACAAAAGCCUUGUUCUGAUGUGAUCUUCCCUGCCUCUUGACCAUGAAGACAAUAUUCACAAACCAUCGGGUCUGCCCACAAUAGAGAAUCAUCCUGUCUCACAUGCUUGUGAAUAUCAAUGGGAGGGGAAUAUGUUUCAGGCUCCAAAUGGACACUAGUAAAUUAAAAAGACUUCUCACUGAGCACUCAAUCCCCUACUGCUAAGCAAGUUGGCUGGCAGGUUUAACCAAACUAGAACAUAAACUGUUAGGAGAGGAUUAUGAUGGAUUAAAAAUUCAAGUUGAUAUGUCAUACUUGUCCUAUUCUUUCCAUACAGAUAGGUAUAAUGUUCAGGGGAAUCUCAUGGAACAAUUUCACAAGGGCAUUGAUGACUGCUGUCAUGGAAAAAGUCACCCACGCAUUGAUUUUAGUUCACAGACUCAAGCCUGAGGCCAGUUUAUUGCAAUACAUACCAACGCGUUGGGGUAGCAGUCCGAAAACUACCACCCCUAGCACAGCAGGCUGCUUUUAUUCCGUCAAACCGCAAGCAUAGUACAAAUAAUACGUCAUUUGUGUGAAAUAAGAGUUGGGGUCUGUCCCUUUUUCCCGGUACCUUCCUCAUUAUUUUACGAGAAUUGGGUGCCUAUUCGGUGGGGGGGUUCUUGGUGAUUUCCGCCAUGGGUGGUACUUGGCACCAGUUGGAGGGUUUUUCUUGUUAAGGUACGUAUUAUCUUUCCGGGGUUUUACGGUUAAGGGCAUAGGGGUUUAUCACGGGACGCCCAAAGAAGAUAUAUGAUUGGCUAGUUUGGCAGUUAGUUGGAACUAGAGGAGAAGUUGGCCUUUACUAGAAGCAAUUUCUUCAUAUAGGCAGCUAUUAUGUUUCAUAAACAAGCGGUUAUCAUGUUUCAGAAACAAGCGGUUACUCUGUUGCUGAGGCCUUUCGCAUUGCUCCCUCCCCUCCCUCCUCUGGUCAUAACCCUUGACUGUAUUUGGCAGGGAAUUGUACAGCUUAGUCUUGUUCAGGCCCUGGCCUGUACUGCCUUUUGCAAGGGCAGUCAGUAUAUUGAGCCUCUUUCAAGCCUGAUUUUGGGCCUUUGAUGUUAUUUUGGCUGUCAAAAAGAAGGUUACCCAGUUCUUUUUCCCCACACUGCUUAAAGGCCCUAGAAAGGGGUGGUUUCUUGUUGUUUGUUAUUGCUUCUUGACCAUUUCCAUAGUACCAUAAGUUCUGCUUCUCUUAAAAUGUUCUCUGUAGAAAAGAUGAUAGAGGAUGCAUCUGCUCUAGAGGCUUAUCCUUAAGAGGAUCCCUCUCUAAUUGUGAAGGGACUUGAUUAUUGAGGAUUGUAGAGAAAACACUGGGACCUUUCCUGUACCCUGAGCAUUCAGUUUGGAUUGUGGGAUGGAAGAAGUACUGCUAAUAGAACAAUGGGAACAUGGAGAUAAGUUCCUCUGAAAGUGCCAAAUCCUGAGUUAGGUGAAGGGGAGACUUUUAAAAAAAUUUCUUGCAUCUUUAUAUUGAGUGUGAAGGUGAAACUUUCAUUUAUUUUCCCUGGAAGAGGGAAUUGUAGGGCACGUUAGGUUUCAGUCCAGUGGAGAAAGAUGGAAAGGUGGUCUGAUGAUCUUGUUGGAUGGGACCAGAAAGAUCGUUCCUGGAUCAGUUGGAGAGGAAGGGCAAAACUGGUUGUUUUGGCUAUGUUCGAAAUUCUCUCUGUGGCAAACAUGCUGGUAGAUGUUCAUUGGUUUCUUGGUUGAAGAAUUUUGAGCCUUCCUCUCUUUAGAAGGAUGGGGAAGGUUGGAUGAUGCUUGAUGUUUUCCCUGUGGAUACUCUGAACCAUUUGACAUCCUCCUUCACACAAAAGCUAAGUUCUCCAUGUCAGAUCCCGUUCUUUAGUUGCUUCUUUCCUUCUUGCUGCAUGACAGUUUCAUCAGUGAAUGGACCAAGGAAAGGGGUUUGGGCAGGAGCUCCAGAAAGUAUGCUACACAGACCCUUUCUCUCCAGUCUGGUGGUAUAUGGAAGAAUUUGAGACAAUGGAUGAGAAGGCUAGUCCCAGUAUUGCUAUAGUACCAACCAACAGUCACAUCACUUAACCUGGUGAAAAAAGAAUGGGAUAAGACUUAAAGGUUUUUUUUCCCUUUUUGGUGGUGGGAUGGAGGUCCCCAAUUUGGCAAGGGAGACCACAUUUAAAGGAAAGGUAUCUGCAUGAAUACCCAGACAAUAGUGAGGUGGACAGAAUCCUGAAGGUGUGUGGAUAUGGAUACUAGGGCUCUUGGUAAAUGGCUGGAUAAUUUAUUCUGUGCAAAAUGUUUCUUGCCCUGGCUGGUAACCUCUCCAGUCUCCUGCAGAGAAGGAGCCACGAUGCAGGUAGAUCAUCCACCUCUAUUAACUUUUUGACUUUUGAGCUUCUAGGCAAUAUUCGUGUAUCUGGCCACAUUUGAGCAGGGGAGAAAAUCUAACUUUGCUCUGAAGUCCUACUGUAAGUAGCUAUAGCACCAAUGGAGGGAUAAGGCAUUGCGGGGGGGGGGGGGGAACCACUGACAGAAAGCAGCCCAAUGCACCUGAGUUGCCCUUGAUCCUGGCUUCAAUCCUUUGUCAAGGCCUAGACUGCUGUUGGGCUGGUGUGAGAGAGGCCCUUCCAGGUCACAGUGGUGGCAUUGCUAUUAUUUCAGCAUGGGGAGGAAAAAGCUAAAAGAAGGGAAAUCUCCAGGCUACUUCCAACUCACCCUUCAGGAAGAGCUCCCUGGAAGACAUUUGUAUUAGUUACAAAUUACAUUGUUAGCAUUGUACCUAGGAGCCCGAGUCAUGGACCUGGUCUCCAUUGUGGUAGGCGCAGUACAAACAUAACAAAAAGUCAGUCCCUGUCCCAGGAGCUUACAACUCAAGUAUAAGACAAGAUGGGUACAGACAAGAGAGUGCAAACAAUCAAUCACACUAUUGGUCAGCUUGGCAGGCAGUGGUCUCUGCAAACCAACAGCCUAAAUUGCAGUUGAGUGUUUUGUAGGCAUCUUGGGAAAGGAGUGUUUUGAAGAGGGUAAUGAGGCUUUGUGGAUGUUUACAGGGAGCUCCUCCCAAGUGUGUGGAGCAGCAUGGGAGAAGGCAUGAAGGUGCUUGUUUGAAAAUUUAACAAGUGGGCGAUGGAAGCUGGCAGCAUGGGCCAAUCGGAGGUGAGUGUCGACAGAGAAUGAGACCAUCAGUAGUGGGGGAUUGACUGUGAAGGGUGUUGAAAGUGAAGACAAGCAGCUUAUAUAUGAUGAAAUAUAGAAGGGAGAAAUAGUAGAGGGAUGACAUGGCCAAAACAAUGGGCUGGGAAAAUGAUCUUUACAGCAGGAGUCUGAAUAGGUGGGACCAGGCAGGACAAGCUUGCAUAUGUCAAGGCCAGAGAGAGGGAUGUUGCAGUACUCAAGUCACAGGAUGUUGAGAGUUUGGAUGAGAGUUUUAGCUGGACGGAUGGAUAAAAAAUGCUGUGUCUUGUUGUAUAUCUACACUAGAGCUGGAAGAUGUACAUUCCAGUGCAAGGAGACAUACCCACACUAGCUCUGAUGGAGCUAGCAUGCUAAAAAUAGAGUGUAGCUACAGUGGCACAACAGGAGGGGAUAGCCACCUGAGUACAAUCCCAUCCAAGACCAUAGGUAUGUACUUGGAGUGGCUAGCCACUACUGCUGCUCGGUCCACUGCAGCUGCGCUCUAUUUUUAGCAUGCUAGCUCAGGUCUAAAAUUAAAUAAAUAAUAAAUAAAAAUUAAUAAAUAAAUAAUAAUAAAAAUUUGAGCUGGAAUUUUUACCUCUUCCAAUACUAGUGUAGACACCUUUAGAUAUGUCAUGCAGAAAGAAUCAGCAAUAUUUAGAUUCUGCCUAAAUGUGAGGACCUGAAGAGAGGUUUGAGUUGAAGACGACACCCAGGUUACAGACCAGAAUGACAGGCAGGCUGGCAGAGUUAUUCACAGUGAUCAAGAAAGGAAGUAGUGGGGAGGGCUUAAGUGGGGGGAAGAUUAGGAGCUCUGUUUUACCCAUGUGUAGCUCAAGCUGAUGACUGGGCAUCCAUGAGAGGACAGACAGGCUGAGAUUUUAAUUGGAAAAUGCUCAGUGCUGCAUAAAUGAGGCACAAAACUGAAGAAAUCCUGAAAAACACCGCUUGUGCCCUUGAAACUGCACCCAAAGUUCUUUCCAGCAAUGCUGCAAAGUUGAGGAGGGGCUAUAAAUACCAGCCCCCUGUCUUGAUCCGAGCACGGGGGAAACAGACCAAGCCAAGGGAAUCGCUGGUGCCCCUGUUAUCCUUAGCAAUGCCCCUUUCUCUACCAGAAUGGCUACAGAGCUACGGCAAGUGAGUGAAAGACGCAGCAGAAUCCUGUCUGGAAGGAGAGGUCAGAGGAACCUCAGGGUGGAGACAAAGUGGAACAUACAUGUAGAGUAGUUGACAUUCCAGCAGCUGGGAGUGGGGUGUCAUUUGUUGUGGGAAAAAUAUUUUAGAACAUGCCUCAGAACAGUGGAAGUAGCAGAGUAUGCAGAAGUAAAGGCUAAAGUAGUGGAUCUUAUGGCGAAAAGACAUUGGAGAAAUAAUGCAAAACAUGUUAAAACUGAACUGUAAAGCAACCGAUGAACCCCUAUUUUACAAACUGUUUGGGGACCAAGGAGUUCAUAAAAUUUAACAACAAGAUUACAGAAGCUAGAGCGCAAAAGUUGCAGAAUGGUGCCCUGAAUCGCUUUGUUCUCAUCCUUCAAACCAGUGCAAAGCAUUGCCAGAGGCAUUGGAAUAUGUAGGGAUGUCACUUUUAUUAUGUGAUUUUUUUUUCCAUUGGGGAAAAAUUAUUUGUAUAAUUGCUUGCAAGACUGAGGCUCAUAAAAUUGAGGUUCUACUUAUAUAAAAAUGGUUCCUUCCUAUACAAAACCUGCACACUUUGUAUUCAUAGUCAUAUCUGCUCCUCUCUCUCACACACACACACACACACACACACACACACAACAAAUCUAGUGACUACGUUUUUAUUCUGAGUGUGAGAGAGCGAGCGAGAUGGCAUCAGAGGCUCAGACAUCAGCAGAACUGUUAGUUAAGUUCCAAUUGUAGGCCAAAUUCUGCCCCCAAUUAUACUGAGGACAGAAUUUUUCCUUCAGAAUCCUCAAUGUGUGAUGAUACAUGAACAGCAACUUGAUUCUCAGGUCCCAGGUUGAGUUUGCAAAACUGGCAAUUAGAAAAGCCAUUUUUUACUGUAUGAAUGCAGUACAUUUGAGGCAGAGGCAACUCUAAGAUUAGAGUUUAAAAGCUACUUUGUUUACUGCACACUAAGGCUUCUUUUACUCUCCAUGUUUUGAUACAUUUAAAAAUAUUUUGUUUACAAAAAAUUCACUCACUCAUCUAAUGACCCAUUAGGCUGAGCACUGCAUAGAGUCAUCCUGUAAUGAAACAGCACUAAGCCCACCGUGCAAUCCCUGACACUUACAGGAAUUGUUCAUACAGAAUUUAGCUGGCUUUGUGAUGUGUGCCUUGACUAUUUCCCAGUACUUUACAAACUGAGAUGCAUCUUAUAGCCUAGGGGGGUUCCCUAAGCUGGCAGCUACAAAAAGCCUGAACUGAGCAGUCAUGAGAAGUGAAUUAAUGAACUUCAACAUCACAACCCCUCAGACUGUAUGGAACAGCAGCACUGACAUUUCAGCUUUGAAUUGUGGGCUGUGCUGCUCUUUUUCCAGCAGGUGCAGUUGGAGGGGGAAGUUAUCUUCCCACACACUUCUUGUAGCUGCCAGAAAGUCUGCACGGAGGAAAAAGUCUAAAUUCUAAAUGUGUUCUGGCAAAAGUAAAUGUAGAGAUAUAGGGUAUGUCUCCACUGCAAUGUUAGCAGGACUCGAGUCAGCUGACCCUGGGUUACAGAAUCCAGGGCUUGAGCAUCUACACAUUGUCAACCCUACAUUAAGAAUUUUCUAACCUGGGCUUGAACUUGGGACUAUGACGUCCACACUGCAGCAUGCAGACCCCAGUCAAACCAGCCAUGUCCCGAGACUCCCUAAUGCCCUCUUGUGUUGUAGCUGCUCUAGCCUUUAGACUGUAGUGAACUGUGGGAAAACUUGACUGUCCACCCUGCACAUCAGAGGAAGUUUGAACAGCCUGCCAACCCAGCCUACUGAGCAAUCAUUUUGGUCUGUGCACUCCCAACUACCAGAGACAGCAACAUGGAGGAGGCACCAUUUGAAGAACUUCUGUUGCUUAUGCUUUCACUCCUGUGUCAGGGAACAGGCAAAGCUUCUGUGAGAUGCUGGUGGACAUUUCAGCAGCGUUUUCUGACCCACCAAAGGGCACCUGUCUAACUUUAUAAUGGAGCUGGAGGAAAAGGAGGCAGCAGCACCACAAGUACCCAGGCAUGGCAGACUUGAACUGGCUGAUGCUGCUCAUUACACUCACUAUAGCUGCUGAUGCUCCCUACGUAGAUCAACGCUUUUGGAGCAGGACAAGCACAGGUAGGUCCACAGCAUCAUGUGGAUGACAAACAAUGGGCCCAGAACUUUUGCAUGAAGAAAGCUACAUUUCUGGAGCUUUGUGAGCAGUUUGCCCCAACCCUCCAGUGCAAAGACACGCAUGAAGGCACCCAUGCCACUUCAGAAGUGGAUUGCUAUAGGCCUCUGGAAGCUGGCUACCCUAGACUGCAACAGGACGUGGCCAACCAGUUUGGUGUUGGGAAAUAGACUGUGAGUAGAGUGGUUGGCAGAGGUUUCUGAGGCAAUCAGGCAUGUGGUUUACCCAAAGUGGCGGGCAUAAUAGAUAUUCCUGAAGUAAUGGCUGGCUUUGAGAGAAUGGAGUUUCCAAACUGCACUGGGGCCAUUGUUGGGACUCAUGUGCCCGUAGUUUACCCUCCUCAAGGAGCACAUGAGUAAACCACAAAGGGUACUAUCCAUUGUUAUGUGGGCCCUCAUGGAACACAGAGGCUGAUUUAUGAAUGUCAGUAUGGGCUGCAUUGGAAAUUUCAUGUUGGCAGGGCUUUUUGCUGAUCAGGAAUCUACAUUCAUGGACAGGCUGGGACACUAUUCCCACCAAAUGACAUUGUCAUGAACAGUAUUACUAUCCCCACCAUUAGUCUAGGGGACACUGCAUGCCCCCUCUUGCCUUGACAUAUGAACCUUAAGAGGCCCUGGCAAAAGGUUUAAUGUGCUCUCAGCGGGUGUAGAAUGGUUGUUGGAGUGUUUUUGGCAGAUUGAAAUCCUCUUGGCAAUGUCUACAGACCUGUUUGGAUGCCAGGAUCAAUCAUGCUGUGCACGUUACUGUGCUCUUCACAAGCUUUGUGAGACUUUUCUUCAGGGGACCUAUGCCAGUGAGGGGUCACUGAACCAAUACACUCAGCCAGAAAGUGCCCUACCAUUGCUGGAGCUGGAUGCACCCAGGCAAUGGAAGUCAGGGAUGCUUUGUGCUCCCUCACUAUAAACUUGCUUGGCCCAAUAGAAGAUGGGCUCAUGGAUUUGGGGUGGAGGUUCAGUGCUUGGGGAGGGAUAGGGGCUUGAGUGCCAUGCAAGGUACUUAUGAAUGAUAUGACCACUUACAAAAUGGGGGCAGGAGGUGACUGACUUCCUUAUAUGAAUCCAUAUUGUGAUUGAAGUGUGGGUUGCUGUACCUAACUGUAUAGAGGAAUGGUGUUUGCUAAUGGAUUCCUAGAUGUCCCUGAUCAUAUGGUUACCUUUUAGCAUUUUAAAUACACAUUGUUUGAUGCCAUGCAGUGAUAGCAAUAAACUUUCUUGGGGACAGAAAAAGCUUUAUUUAUAAAUAUGUCUUAGAAAAGUACAACGUUCCCCCAUUGCCAGGCAGGCCAGCUGCCAUUACUACACUAACACAUCAGUAACAACAGAACCUUACAGGGGACAAAAAGUGAUGCAGCAGAAGCCGGUACUUUUGUAGCCAUUAUUGAGAUCAGCUGCUCAAACAGUUCUCUCUGCUGAGGUUUGGCCUCCUCCCUUAGCUGCCAUUCCUGUUCCAGAAACUUCAAAGCAAGUGCCUGUCCUCAAGCCCCACAGCCAGCCUCAGCCUUUCCUCGAGCCAUACGUCCCUCGGUCUUUGGUACUGGACCUGAUUGGUGGCCCCGGCCAGACCUCAACUAUAGGUUCAUCACGGAAACACUUCCUCUUGGAACAAUCUGUAAAGCUAUGUUGGGCCAGGCUUUUACUGAACUGUGGAGGCACAGCAGCCACUAGAGGUUGAGACACCGAGAAGAGUUGGUUCAAAUAGCCCAGUGCAGGAGGACAUCAAAUGUUAUUUUUCCAUACUGAACCUCAGUAUAUUGUGAGAGGGAUGCUUCAGACCACAGAAGCUCCCUGGACACAGCCUGGUUAAUCGCAGCAACAAAGGUGCAGAUGCAAUGGUAAGUUGUAAAUUCAAAACUGGUUUUUGUUUUCUAAAAAUUGCAGAACUAUUUGUGCUGGGGAUGGGAGGUGGGCAGUCAGUGGUCAUGUUACAAAGGCUUUUCCAAUCAUUUCAGGCAUGUGGUGCCCGACUGGCAAAAGAUGUUAUUUCAACCUGCUGGUGAGAAAACUGCAGCGUAUGCAUCCAGUGUAUUCAAAUGCACAGUGACUGAACAGCACAUCUGAGUGGAAAGGCCUGGACACCUACCGAAGUGGCCCUGGAACAUACGCCCUUCCCCAAAAUGUGACCAACUUAUCUGGAGAUCAUGCUGCUGGAGGAGUUUGCAUCUGUCAGCAUACGGGAUUGGGUCAGACUUCAUGAGGGAAUCAACAGGAUUUGGUGUUAGGUUCCACCUGGCUGAACCAGAUAUGAUUGUAUGCAAACACAUGUAACUCCACUGCCGUGCCUUCCCCCCUCACCCUGCACAUUUCUGGACUCAUUUCAAACCCAGCCGUAUUUGAGGCAAAUUAUUUUGUCACCUAUAGACUGCCUGGACUACCUUUACCUAAAUGGACUAGAUUUGUGAAUGGAUUUCUACCUCCUCCCCACACCGUUCACUGUUCCAGGUGGCUCAUUACGCUGCUGAGUGGUUACAGAGUGGCAAACUUACAGGAAUGGCAGUGGAAGGUUAGUAUUUUUAAGAAGCAGGAGUGGCCUAGCAAAAAUCUGCCUUUUCGCUUUCAAGGCAUUUUUGCUGUUUGUAUUUCCCAAUCACCAUCUGGAACUCCAUGUUAGAGGAAGGUGGGGAACCAUGCCCCUGGGAUACAAUCUCCUGUUAGUGGAUACAUGCUUCUAGCCAGGACUUCUAAUAACUUUUGCAUUGGUUCAUAGAAUGGAAAUCCAUCCCAUUACUGUAUUAAAUGGAGUCAGAAACUUACCAGGCUCUGGAAUGGCUUCUGACCCGUGUCGGCUGCAGGCUCCAAGUCAGGCUGUUCUUUGGAGGGGAGGCAUCGAACAGCUCCUCCGAAUAUGGCCCUAGGAUGUGCUGCUGCUCCUGUGGCAAAACCUCCCACAGGACUCUCUUCAGCAACAGAGUCACUUUGCUGGCCUCACUCUGGAUUCUGAGGCCAGCAGGGUGCCAUCCCAGCUGACCAGUUCAUCCUGCACCAUUGGCUGUUCCCAGCACCUGGUGAAAUGCCUCAUAAAAUGGGCACAAUAGUGGUGAGUUGCCAACUGUGUGGUUCUGAUCCCUGGUUUUCCUGUCCUCACUCUUGAGCUGUUUAAGCCACUCCCUACGCUGGUUACAAGUCUGAUAUAUUUGCAAUGCUGCCAGCUUCUUCACUAUUUGCUGGUAAUGCUUGAUCAUUCCAGUAUGCUUACUGUGGUUCUGCUGGCUUUGCACCAGAGAUUAAUCAAAAUCUGGCUGCGUUUCCAUGACUAUGAAGCAACAGGCUUUGCAAAAAAGGCUGGUCAGUCUCUAUUGCAAAUGCUGAAAGCUUUCUGAUGGUGCAUUUGCAGGUCUCUAGUCAGAAGCCAAUGGAAGGGUUAAUGCUGGCUCACUGAGCUGCUGCAGUACACCAAGAGACGUCGAUUCCAUUGGAGUCAAUUGAGGAUUCUUGGGAUAGAGAGGACUAAGGAAGGUGGCCCCAUGGGAUUGUGGGAUACUUUUGGCCAGUUGCCAGGACACGAGUCAAGCAGGACUAUGUUGACAUUGCAACUCAAUAGGUCUUGAACCCUGGUUCCUGGCUUGGCUUGGCCCCUCCAGACCCACAGGGUCCUAGGUCAAGGCUGAGAGAUUUGUAUGUAGAUUGAAAGGGGAGGUUUAAACUGAAGCUUGAGUCCAGGUUUACAAUGCACUGUAACCAUACCCUUAGAAGCUCAUGGUUUGCUAGAGAUGCUUCAAAUGAUGAGUGUAUGGAUAACUGCAUGCACUAUUCCUUAUAAAAGAAAGCACAUCUGUGUGGUUCAUAAUGAUUCUUUGAAAACUAAAAUGCUUCAGUUUAUAGCUCAAGUUACUUUGCCUUUGUUUCUUGUCAACUGAUUUCAUCCUGUUAUACUACUAACCUUUGUAACUCUGUACUGAAAUAAGGAGUCUAUGUUGUUGUUGCUUGUUUCUCUCCCAUAGGCCUUGAUACAAUUUCCAUUCAGCAGUUGAAGAAGAAACGGUCUCAAUCUUUGACCGAAGACUCAGGUUUCCACUAUAGUUGGUAGCAAGGCUUCCUUUUCCUGACCUCAGGUGCUUCCUUAGGUUGUGAUUCACACAUUUCCUGCCUCUCUACUGACUAGCUGUGUGGGGGCUGGACUAGCUCACAUGUACAUCACGUGCCCCCCUUCACCAGAGAAAGAAAGUACUCCAUCUAAAUACACUGUGAAUAAUACUUAGCAUUUAUUUAGAAGGAAAAUGAAACCUAGUCUGUAGACUUUCCUACCUCACUACCCUGUAGAGAUGGUCAUGCUGUUGAAGUUUGUUAAAGAAAAAAUCUCUGGGUAAAAAUGACCUAUUGAGACUGUCUACAUUAGAUCCAUUUUUCAAUUUCCUUGCAUUGGUUCUGCUUCAAUUGUGUUAGCAACUUUGAUAGAAUGAUGGUGGACAGCUGCAAGGCUAAAUCCUUAACACUGUAGCGGCUGCAGCAGCAGUUGUCCUAGUGCUGGUAACAGCAAUGACAUUAAAAAUGUGAACAGUGGAUAUUUUUCAUAAGUCAUCCUAGUGUAGAAAGGGCUAUUGUUAGAAGUCAUGCCAGAUUUGUGCAUUUCUCUUCAACCAUGGUAUGAAAAUAACCCAGUAAUUAAAAAAAGUCUGGAUUACUGAUUUGGAGCUUUUAUCAAUUUUGGCCUAUGCAUCGAUCCUCCCUUUUAGCGGGCUCGAAAAUACCUCACUGAUCUACAUAUCCUAUGUUCCAGGAGAUCAACCAACAGCUCAGGCAGCAGGUUCUCCAGUCACCUAAUUCCCUGAAGAGAUCUGCACCUCUCCCAUGUUCUUGCUUUGAAGUGUAAAAUAAUGUAUCCCUUUGUUCUACAAUAGAUUCCAACCCUGCAUAAUUCAAGACCUCUUCAUGCCAUUUGAACUUAUGUUAAAAAUCACACUGAAAUCUUCUCAUUUGGCCUGCUAACUAAAGAAUUCCCCUUUUUACUAACCUGACCCCACUGACUCUUGAUCAGUUUCACUAUGUAAAAUACAUGGAAAAAAAUGAAAUUAAAUCAGGUUAUCUUUAUUCUGGUAGUUGUGACACUUCACUUGGCUUUGAAGUCUUAAGUAUCCUGUGAACAAUGGGUUAGUGACAUCAGCACUGCAGUACUAAUAUUCCAUUCCCAUUAUCACAAAUUAUGAAUGUUAGAUACACAAAUUGAGUAUGGUGACUGCCUGGCUUUGAAAAGCAAUGGAUGGCUUACAGAUUUUAAUAUACUGAACGCUACUGAAGGUGUGGGAUUCCAAAAUGAAUGGUGAGUCAACCUAUUCCAUCAUAAUAAAAUGUAAAAUAAUUUUGUGAUAGGCUAUUUGAUUUUCAAGGAGGGAAAACAAGGAUAAAAAGGCUGAAGUUCUCAUGGUAUUUUAUUUACAGGCUACUCGAUACAUCUUAUAUACAAAUGGCUUAAAGAAAUAUCAACAAUAAGUAAGCUGAAGUAACAGUUUCAGUAUUUUAAAUUUUGUUGCCCUAAAAUAAUUCCUAUGAUAAGAAUACUUAACCUUGUUCAGUGAAAAUUAGUUUGAAUUUAAGUCCAGCACUUAAUUUUUAAAUAUGAAACAGUUUAGAUCUGAAUCAAUUUUCUGGCAAUUUUUUUUAUUUAAUGGCAUACUUAACUGCAGAGAACACAUUAAUACUGCCUCAAACAAUUUUAAGCAUUAAUCAAGAUUUUUCCACCGACAUAAUUCAAUUCUGAGACUUUUCAUCCUUUGGAAGGGAUUUAUUUUUCUCUUCAAUCUAAAACAAAAAUUCAAAAAGUUUGGCUGAAAUUUAUUUCCUCUACUGGUAAUGAAACAUGGGGCCAGAUCUUGUAGUUUGGGACCUAAUGGAGUUUUAGUCUGAAUAACAAUUGCAUGAAAGUUACCCGUGCUAGUUUUAAAAUUAGUUUUACAGCUUAUUUAUAAAUCUCAGCAACAGAUGGGCCUUUAAUAACUUUCUUCAGACUGGCACUAACUCCUGAUAUAAAUAUAACAGGAAAAGCAAACUCAAAGCAUCAAUAGUUUACAUUAAAACUCCUUCCACCUCUGUUUUUCGUUAAGCAUCUGAUGCUUAGGAUGAUAAAAGGUAAUAGUAAUUAAAUAUGUAUUGAAUAGGUAUGAAAAAUAUAAAUAUGCAAUUUUUAAAAUGUAUAAGUUUAAUUUUCUAGCAAUUACAUUUGCAUUUAAAGAUCAGAUUUAGUUACUUGGAUGGGGGGAAAUGUUGUAGGUUUUUUCUUUUUCUCCUGUUUCUUCUACUCCGGAUUACUUUAUCCUAGGAUCAUGAAUUUGUUUUUAUGUUAGUGUCUCUCUCUCCUUUUCAUUUGGCUGAAGUUAUGUAAUAUCGUAUUAGUGCAAAUUGUUAUGCCUGUCAGACUAGCACUAUGUGUUUUAAAUUUUUUCACUCCAGGUAAUGUUGGAGACCACUUCAUUCAAAAUUAACUAUUCAACCCGUGGAAUAGGUCCAGGAUCAAAUACUUUAAUCUGGAUGGUAGAGAAAAACACUUUUUGAUGUUGGGUCCAAUUCUCUGCAGUACUUCUAGGA